CGAUAAAAAGAAAAAAAAAAUCGGCUUGAUAAGAAGGAAAAUGUCUAAAGCAUUUUUUUUUUUAGUUUGAAUCACAAGGUAGUCUUGAGUGAGCCCAAACUGUGGGAGAUACCUUUAAAUCCGUACCACAACUCAGACUAAUUCUCGUUCGCACCGGGUCGGCUCGUAAGAGGUAAAGUAUUGGCCAAAGUAGUGACUCCAAACGAGAGUAGAGCUUGAACUCCUGACCUCUCUUAAAGAGUGAGAAUACCGAACUACUCAUACCAACUAACUUUAAUGUAUCGAAAGCACUUUAAAUCUGCUUUAUCUCAUUACAAGCCCAAAAAUAAUUUAUUAUAUGCCCGGAAUACCCAUAGCUUAAGCUAUGAUUAAAAAGUAUCCUGCACGUGCUGCGUAACCACCUACAUCACUUAACCAUCUUCAAAGAUUUUUCCAAAUGAAUUAAUGAGUGUCUACGAAAAUUUGACCGAGUCAACCAAUACUUCAUUAUUUUUAGUGGUCAUGAUUAAUGUUGGCAUUGUUUUUUCUUUCUGUAACGUGGGCUCUGCCAAUUCUAGAAGAUGGUCCCAUAACCCAGCUGAUAGGACCCACAUUAAUGAAUAAUGAUGAUUCCUGGGUGGUUCAAAAUAUGGCAAAGGCCGCAUUGCUCUGCCUUCAAAAUGAUGAUUCUGGGUAGGAUGGGCAAAUCGGAUUUCGGUUUGGAUUAUUUGGGUUUCAAUUCGUUCGGGUUGGAGAAUUGAACUUAAUCGGGUUGAAAACGCCAAUCCGAAUCAAACCGAAGCGAAUUUAAUUCGGUUCGGUUCGAUUUGGGUUGGCAAUUCGGAUCGGAUUGAGUUGAUAAUUCGGGUUAAAAUUUUAGUUCGGGUUAAUUCGGGUUAGUUUAGGUUAGAAUAAUUCGGAUUAGUUCGGAUUAGAAUGAGUUUGGAACAAUUUAAAUGAUUUUAAAUUCGGGUUGUUUCGUAGCUAAGAAAGCAGUGAGAAAUUUGAAGGAAAAUAAGAACUGGAUCUGAGAAUUCUCUAGAACAUCAUUUUAUUCAUCAACAACCAAAUGAUAUGUACAAGAGGUUCCUUUAUAUACAAAGCUUAAGCUCAGAUCAAUUGUUGUAACCAACUAUAGCUAAUUAACUACUAAUUUAACUACUAAUCACAAUAGCUUAUAACAAUCAAUUAAUUAAAAAUAUACAAUUUAAUUAAUAGCAACAGGCUGUUAAAAAAUUAAAAUUCGAUUCGGCUUGUUGCCAUCAGCUGCGAGCAAGUCAGCAAGUUACAGGCUUAUAGUGCCGGCAAGGCAAGACAAACCUUGAUCUCGGAGGUCGGAGCAGCUACAGCGUCGGCAGAUCGAGACUAUACUGGGCUAAGUGGGACGCGAGUGGGCUGUGGUGAAGCGCAGUUGCAAGCGAGGCGUGCUGGCUGACGGCGAGUGGGCUGCGGUGAACGCCUGGUGUCUGUUGGAGCUGGACGGGGCUACUGGCUGCUGCUGUCGUCGUGGGCCACGAAACUCAGAAAGUGAGAACUGAGAAGAGGGAGCAAGGAGNN
rnacentral:lncRNA from 1 species